rnacentral:rRNA from 1 species
GGUGAACGCUGGCGGCGUGGAUAAGGCAUGCAAGUCGAACGCAUCUUCGGAUGAGUGGCAGACGAGGUAGUAAUACGUAGGAACGCACCCCAUAGUCAGGAAUAACUUCGGGAAACCGGAGCUAAUACCUGAUGGUCCCUUCGGGGUAAAGAUUUAUCGCAAUGGGAGCGGCCUGCGAGAUAUCAGCUUGUUGGUAGGGUAAUGGCCUACCAAGGCUAUGACGUCUAGGGGAGGUGAGAGCCUGACCCCCACCGAUGGAACUGAGACACGGUCCAUACUCCUACGGGAGGCCGCAGUCGAGAAUCUUCCGCAAUGGACGAAAGUCUGACGGAGCGACGCCGCGUGGCUGAUGAAGUCUUUCGAGACGUAAAGGCCUUUUCUUGGGGAAGAAGUUUAUUGACGGUACUCAAGGAAUAAGGGGCACCUAAUCACGUGCCAGCAGGUGCGGUAAUACGUGAGCCCCAAGCGUUACCCGGAAUUACUGGGCGUAAAGGGUUCGUAGGCGGUUAUGUUAGUCUCUGGUUAAAUCUUUCGGCUCAACCGAAAGGAUGCGAGAGAAACGGCAUAACUAGAGGAUGCGAGGGGUCUAUGGAACUCACGGUGUAGGGGUGAAAUCCGUUGAUAUCGUGGGGAACACCAAAAGCGAAGGCAAUAGACUGGCGCACUCCUGACGCUGAGGAACGAAAGCCAGGGUAGCGAACGGGAUUAGAUACCCCGGUAGUCCUGGCCCUAAACGAUGUCCGCUGGCUUUUCGGAGUAUCGACCCUCUGAGGGGCGAAGCUAACGCGUUAAGCGGACCGCCUGGGCAGUACGAGCGCAAGCUUAAAACUCAAAGGAAUAGACGGGGACUCGCACAAGCGGUGGAGCGUGUGGCUUAAUUCGUCGAUAAGCGAAGAACCUUACCAGGGCUAGAAACUAUGUCGAACUCAUCCUGAAAGGGGUGGGGCCUUCGGGCGGCAUAGCAGGUGAUGCAUGGCCGUCGUCAGUUCGUGGUUUGAACUGUUCCCUUAAGUGGGGUAACGAACGCAACCCUCGUUGCCAGUUAUAUGUGUCUGGCGAGACUGCUCCCUCACGGGAGAGGAAGGUGGGGAUGACGCCAGGUCAGCAUGUCCCUUGAUGCCCUGGGCUGCACACGCGCUACAAUGGCUACUACAACAGGUUGCGAUCGGGUAACCGUAAGCUAAUCCUUAUAAAAGUAGUCUCAGUGCGGAUUGAGGUCUGCAACUCGACCUCAUGAAGUCGGAAUCGCUAGUAAUCGCAGGUCAGCAAUACUGCGGUGAAUACGUUCUCGAGUCUUGUACUCACCGCCCGUCAAUCUAAGGAAGCUGGGAGUACCCGAAGUUCCCGCCUAGCGGGACCUACGGUAAAUUCAGUGACAGGAGAU